UCGAAUGUUAUCAUUGGAUUGAAUGGGCGUUAUCAGUGGUUAUCAGCCUCAUAGAUAUGGGUCAGUAGGGGCCUGCUGCGCCUACUGGUAGGCUCAGAGGGCUGUUAUCAUCCAUUCGCAUGGUUAAUCACGGAUAAAUACACGAGAAGACUCCAGAUCCAAUCCCGGAGCAAUCCAGGUCGCCGCUAACCGGAAGUCUGCUGGAUAACGGCAUAUGUAUACACAGGUUGAAGAUGGCCCAGAGAGAGAGAACACAAAUUAAUGAAGAACAAAGGGAAACUUUGAAAACAUUUUUGAG